GAUGAACGCUAGCUAUAGGCUUAACACAUGCAAGUCGAGGGACCGGCGCACGGGUGAGUAACGCGUAUCCAACCUGCCCAUAACUAAGGGAUAACCCAGCGAAAGUUGGACUAAUACCUUAUGGUUAUGGAUGGGGAUGCGUCUGAUUAGCUUGUUGGCGGGGUAACGGCCCACCAAGGCAACGAUCAGUAGGGGUUCUGAGAGGAAAGGCCCCCAAAUUGGAACCGGGGACCCGUCCAAACUCCGACCGGAAGGAGGAAGGAGGGAUAAUUGGUAAUGGGCCCAAGUGCUAACCCGCCAAGUAGGGGGGAGGAAUACGGCCUUUGGGGUUUUAACCUGCUUUAAAAUGGGAUAGGUACCAUAUGAAUAAGGACCGGCUAAUUCCGUGCCAGCAGCCGCGGUAAUAC
rnacentral:rRNA from 1 species